rnacentral:misc_RNA from 1 species
ACGCAACGAGCUCCGAGGAUCAGCACAAGAAAUAGAUAGAUGCAACAAUUGUACGUGAUGCUACGUGUUUGCAAAUUGUUGGUCAUAGUCGCAAGAAGAAAUUGAAAUCGGUAUUUUAAAACUAAUAAUUUAUGCAUUUGAAGAUGUUGGGCUUGUAUACUAGCAUUCUUUAUCACUACUUUUUACUAUUAUUUUUUAAGAAAUUUCUAAUCUUGUAAGAAGAAAGGUGACGCAAGGAUUCUCCGCAACACUUCAAAUUUCCAAAUUGUCGGUCAUAGUUGCAAGAAGAAAUUGAAAUUGAAAGGAAACGCAAGGCGAGAACACGUAUUUGAAUGCAAUGAACUUCAAGGUGGUCUGGGCAACCUAGAAAUAGGAAAAAGGAACGAGACCCAAGACUUCAAAUAAUGUUAGAGUACUGGUGUGGAAGGGAUCUACAAUUCCAGAAAUUUGUUAAUCCUUUCUUUAACACUCUAUCGUAUUAUUUUCAUUGCAGAUAACCGAUAUGAUAAGGAAUUUUUAUCUUCGUCCGUGUUAUACCUAGAGUGUCUUGUAUUAUGCGCUUAGUAAUAAAAGAAUAGUGCAAUUUCUUU